rnacentral:lncRNA from 1 species
CUGGGGUUGACUAGCUCAAAGCAACACAGAUAUAACGAAAAAACCUGUGUUAUAUCACAUGUUCAUCUACUGCCUGCAUUCCACCUCCUGCCGCAGGCGCUGCCGCUUCCCUGCAUGCCCCGGGAACUGCGGACUGUUCAGGUGCUGUGGGGCUACAAGGACAAUCUGAUCUGCUUCAGCUUCUUCUAUGCUCUUUGCUGGGUCACUUCUUAGGAAGAAGGUGGGUCAUCCCAUAUGAUUUCUUUCCCCUCCCUGCCUUGGCCACCAUGUCCACCCUGGGAAGGUGAUUGCCAUGGCCCAGAAUGACGUUUCUCCCUCUUAGCAAAGUGAGCUUGCAGCGCUGAGCCCCUCUCCCCAGACUGAGUGCUGUCAAAAUUGCUGCAUUCCAAAGGAGCCUCAUUCUACAGGUAUUUCCUUUCUGCUCUGCUAUGUGUCUGUGUAUCAGUUAGGAGGCUGAGAACAGCUGAGCAUCAGCGAUCUCCUUGUGCUGUGUUCCAUCCUGCGGCUCGUCGCUCCAUCACUGAGGUACAUUAUCCUACUCUCUAAACCAAGCAUGUGCCCAGGAGAUAAACCAAUUGUUUUUUUGUGCUGCUUUCUAUUUAGAUCCAUAGGCUUCAUUUCAGCUCUUUGGCAAUGCUUCUUCUAACCUUGCUGCAAGAAGUCCUUGUGGCCAAUGCAUCCUCCCUAACGAGGCUGACGGGCUGCUGGCGAAAGGUGCCAGAGGAUGGAAGCUGGCAUGCUGAGGGCUUCUGUCCUGCGGUGCAGGCUGCUGGGAUCUGCCUUCCAUUGUGCUACUGAAACAUCAUCAAAGCCAGGAAAUGGGAGUGCCAUUCCAGUGAAAACCUUUGCAGUGCUGCAGCAGAGAGCCUUAAAUUCAAAGCAGUACUUUAAAAAUCAGAACUAGAAGGCGCUGCAUUAGGCCAGUGAAUGAUUCCAGCUUACACUGCCCACACAUUUGGGAAGGCUGCUUCAUCACUUCACUGCUACAUUUGUCACCUGACACCUGAGGACAGGUCACUGGAUCACAGUUCCUUACUGCCCUGCAGCUGGGGAAGGAGUUUGCAGCCCUUCUGCUGAGAAGACAGGGCUGGGUCUGCAGCCAUUAAAAGGAGCAGAAGAAGAUUUCCUCGAAUUCCUGCAUUGCUGUGAGCUGACACAAGGGCACGGCGCUCCACGCAGCAACCACCAGAUGUGCAGUGCAGGUUAUCUCUUCGCUUGUCUAAUCAAGUCUGGAAAAAAUAAUUGUCAUUAAUUCACUGACCUGAACCUGGGCCGAGCUGUUCUGUGCACUGGCUGAAUGUGACAACUAAUCCAACAGAAAUAUGCAUUAUAUUCCCCUACAUUGCCACCUUGAAACGUCCCGGCACUGCCUCCCUGCAGUACUGGUGCUGCCACAGGGACAGGGACACGAGCUGAAGUCUCCAUGAAGUCCUGUAUGGAACAAAGGCCAGAAGGAAGUCAUGAUUUCAGUGUGUCUACUGUACUGGAAGGAAAAACAGAACAAACAGAUCCUCCUUGAAACUCUUCCCACAACCAAACUUUUAAUGUUUUUAUGAGAGAUCUGCACAUGUAUUCACAUUUAUCAGCAUAUGCAAAUCUCCCACUGAAGGGAAGCAGGCUGUGUCAGAGCAGUGGAGGUAGAAGCUGACAGUAGAUCUCUACAGCUGUCAAAACAACGGCCUGGUAGAAUGCAGCCAUCAAAACACGAGUCUUGUGUGCACAUCUCAGACUUGGCUGUUCAAUCUCUUGCACCAGAAGCUCCUAUGGCAAAUGUUUUUGAAACACGGAUGAUCCGAGUGCAUCAGAAAGAAAGCAAUAGCUGUGACAUCUUGGUCUCCAUCCUCAAAAGGCACUGGGAAUUCCAAACAAUCUAGUAAUUGGAAUUCAUAGCUAGUUUCUGUAUGAAAAGUCAGCUGUAGAAAAUAGUGUGUUUGAAAGUAUCCCCUACUCCAUACAUCAGCAUGUAACCCGGAAGCUUUCCUUCCUUGCAGUUCCCUUUGGGUUGCUUUUCCCAGUAAGAGGUCCUACCCCCUUUUUGACCAGAGGCUCUUGUGGUAAAGGGGAGCGCUGUGGGACUUCCAAGCUGGAGUGGAGGGAGAAGCGGGUAGUGAGGCAAUGCUGUGCUAUUGGAAGUUGUGCUGUUGUAAACCAUGGGAACAGCUGACCUGAGGAAUCUGCGAGAAACAAUCCUCUAUCGUCAGACACUGAAUAAUCUAAUGACUUAUUUCAGUUUCUUAAAAAUUGCCUUUUCAUCAGUUGAAAGUUGCAAAUUGCUGGUUUAAUGAGUCCCAAGCAGAGAAAAUAGAAGUAAAAAUAUAUGCAUCUUAUCUAAUAAAUGCUGAGCACUAGACAGGCAUGACUAAAGCAAACUAACCUGCAGAUUUUAAAUCUCUUAGGAUCUGUUGCAGACAGCUUGGUUCAAAACAGCCAACGAAAGAACAGAGCUGCAGCAGGUCUGCCUCGGCACCACUUGCUGCAGCUCCUGGAGGAGCAGCGUUGCAUUUUCUGUUUGGUAAACUGCUGACAGUGCUAACAGUACCAUCUUUGAAACAGCAAACUGAGCAUGUGCCAUCCCUUUGAAGGACACAUGCUGAAAUGCAGGAUGAGUAGUUCCAGAUAAGCCAGCACAGUAUGUCAGUACCUUCAGCGUGUUGCACAAACUUGCUGAUAGGGGACAAAACAAAAACCACAGAAACAAAAGCAGCUCAACAUAUUGUUCUGGUGAAAUGAGAACUCUCUCCCCAGUGUCUGUAUGCUUUGUUUAAUGGAUCAUGGGAGCCUCAGGAUUCACCAGUGUCUCACGAAGCUGCACCAGGCGAUGGCAGAUGGCAGCAGGAGCACGCGGUGCAAGAAUGCGCCCUUCUCUUAAAUGCAGCAUGAGGGUGGAGGCCCUGGGCUUCUUUCCACGCAUGACUCAAAUGAAUCUUCUGCCUAAUGAGUAGCAUUUUGAAGUCAGCUUAAAAAUCCUAUAGUGAUCCUAUCUAACCAGCUUCUCCUACGUAAAGAUUAAUUUUUUAUAAUGGUGGUUUUCUUUCCAGUUGCCCAGGGCAGUUAUUUGCUAGGGCAGCCUCCUAUCAGCUGAGAUAACAAGGGCAAAGACUGACAGUCCAGCAGAGUCUGGGUUGUGCUCAUUUCUGGGGGAGCAGCGGAUACUAUUAAUGGUGUUCAGGCCUAAAUGGAACCAAGUGUCUCAUUGGGAAAAUAUGUUGGGGAGAAAGGGCUGUGCUAGGGGGCUGCAUACCCAGAUUGUGCUCCUGUUGGAUGACUGGCUGAUAAAACCAGCACUCCUAUAUAACCUUGCAAAAGUCAUUAAUGAAGCUUCAGUGCCUCACAGUGAUGGUGGUGCUCCCAGCUGAUGGAGACAUGCUGGAGCAAGCUGCAGUAACAGUGUCUGACUGGCAGUCUUCCCUGCUGGGUGCUGCUGUCAGGAAGGCACAGUAGAGACUACGUAGGCAUAUUGAAAUAGGGUAUGAGAUCAAAUCAUCUAAAAGAUCUGCAAGGACCCUUGUUGUCUUCUUCCUUGCAGUUUGCAAAUUGCUGCUGUAUACUGAUUUUAUCUGAUUUCAAAUGUAGCUUAAGAGACUGUUUGGUAGGCAAGAGCAUCUCUAAACUAGUGGUGAGCCUUUGGGGGCUGUGUGGCAGGUGACACAGGCUGGAGGUUUCCAUAAGUAUAGGAUCCAGUUGGCAGCAUAGGCUGGUGCCCUUGGAGGUGGUAUUGCUGCAAUGGGCGAUCUGUGUCCUCAGCUGAGCACUGGCACAGAACUAGCUGUGGAUGGCAGAGCCUCGAUUUCUUCUUCCAAGUAGCAAUGGGCUGCAAAAAUUAACAUGAGUAAAAUCCAUCUCCAUCCUAGGAACAUGUAAACAUCUGGACGAGUAGUUAUGAAGAUUAAUGUUAUGCACAGGGUAAGAAUUCCCACUGACAUUUGCUCAGUUUGCCCAAGCAAGUUAGUGGAAACCUCCUGUGAAUAUGAACCGUACUCUGCAGUGCUGCGCAGGCAUUUAACAGCUUGGAUGCCAGUCUCCUUACAGGCACAUCAGUAAGUCUUAGUCUUUAAUUGCCUUAAAAUAUAAUAUUGGAAGAAAAAAAAAGUCAUAGAGGUAUGUGUAACUUUUAAGACUAAGUGGAAAAGAAGUAAACAACAAUAAAGUUAUCCCCAUCUUUGGACUUAAAAUCAGUCCUGACUGAGGCAGUUCUUCAAGGAGAGUGGGUGACAGCUGUCUGUCAGGUCUGAGCAACACGUCUUCUGCACUGAUGAUCAAUGCCUGAAAUAACGCUGAGGUGCAGCAGUAGCUGUGUAUCAUUCAUAGGAGGGUGGCAGCUGCUCCAAGUACAGCACUGAGCGUGAAUGCCUGCUGUCUCGUGGUCAGUGGUUACUGCUGUGCCUGAAGCCUGGCUGUGCCUGUGGUCAGAUGCUCUGACAUCAAAGGUACUGUUGGCUCCUUUGGGCUGGUGAACUUUAUUGAAAGCAUGCCAUGUUUGGAGUCCCAUGAGCAGGUAACGUGCAUCCAUCUGAGCGUGCAGGUUUGAACGUGUCUGCCAUAAGGUAUUUGAAUCUGGAGGCAAUGUGAUUCUUGCUAUGCAAUAAAAUCAAGAAUACACAGUCUUUUAGUGUCUAAACCCCUCCCAGUCCUCCCCUAUUCUGAACGUACUGUUAUCAUUACACCGAUACUUGCUGUGUAAUACACUUUAAAUGAGUGUGAAUGUGCUAUGGACUAAUGUGGUUAUCUCCAUAUGGCAGGAAGUUGCUUGGUCGGAGGUCAUCUCCAUACUGGUGUAAUUCCAGGCAUGUUGCUGGUUUUAAUAAUAUAAUGACGAUAAUUGAUGUUCUAAAACUGGUAAGGUCAGUGUUCACUGGCUGCUACAUUUACUUGGCAGCCAGCUCAGCAGUAUUAACACGAAAUGAGGCACAAAUCCCACGUCCUGCUCCCAGGCCUGAUAGCAGAAUGGGCGCUCCAAUGAAUCGCAGUGCUGUUUACUCCUUUGGCACUCCUUUCUUGCUGACCUCUGCCCAGGUGUGCCAUGCAGCAGGGUAAGACGGGGUGAAGCCAGGGCCAACCUGAAAAGCCCUCACGUGGCAGUUUUGCCAUGACGAGUUAAUCACAGCAUUUGCUGGUAUUAUUCCAGACUUUUUUUUCCCCCUUUGGAUGUGUGCAGGUUCACAGAGUAAAGGCAGGACGACUGUUGAAUGUGUAUUAAUGGCUAUAAGAAAUAUAGGUCCCAGUUUGCCAGUUGUUCUGCCAGGUUCUCAGACAGGAAUGUUUAGGGAGCUUUUUCUCGGCAUGGUGCAAAGCCUGCAGCUAAGAAAAGAGCCCAGGGAAGAUAAUCUGCCUUUUUCCAUGUUCAGCAUUUCCCACCCGGUGUGAACCUAAAUCAUGUGGAUUUCACUACUGGCUCUGCAAUGUUACGGGGAGAUAAGGCGGUAACAACUCAUUUGUAUCCCCAGAUGAGAUAAACCAGAAGCACAUCUCCCCGUUUGUGAGUGGCUUCCUAUCAGAGGUGAGAAUAACUGCGCGGCACUAAGCUGGCAGUCAGCAGUGAUUAAUAAUAGUAAAUCUUUUGCAUAAAUAGAAAGGUGUCAUUGUGUGUAUUUCACUUACAGUGUUUCUAAUGUGUGUCUGUAAUUAAAUUACAUCUGGUUUUCUGUCCAAGAAAUUAAUGUGCACUUACAUAAUGUGUUGGUGCUCUUAUGUUCAGGAGGGGGAAAUGAGUGCUCUGCCUUUUCAAGUGGAGAUUGCUUCAUCCAUAGCUUUUUGGGGGAGUGGAAAUAGAUUUAUUCUAUCUUUGCACGUUCGUCUGAUUCGGUGCUGAAAUCACUGGAGCAAAUUCAGCAGCCCCGGAUGCCUUCAGUUCAGGAUCCCGUUCUGAAUGAUGAUGGAAGAGAAGAAGCGUGUUACUUUGUGCUAAGUAAGAGAAGGGGACUGUAUUGAACACCGAGUUUGCUCGUUUGAUUUGUAAGCAUAUGAAAUAGCCUGCCACAUUCUUCAACUAAGCACGUAAAUUACUUGAAUCGUGGUUGUGUGUUCUGUGUUUGCUGUUACCAUUGGAAGCAGUUUUAUCAGGCUUCAGUCCCUGUGGUACUCGAGAAAGUUGUAAGAAUGCAAAGCUAUCUGAAGGUCAUUUGCAAUCUUAACAGCAGAAAUUACUAGCUGCUGUCAGCUACUAUAAUGGUGUUGAUAUGUGGCGUAAUAGUUUUACAGUGAAAUGGGAGAUGUAUUGAAGGUAUCUGAAACAGAAGCAGAAAACGUGGCUUUGGUGUGCAGGCAGGAGGAUAUUUCAGUGUCAGCUCUGAACACGAUCCCCAUAUUACACUGAGACGCAACGACUCCUUAAUGAUGGAGGCUGCUGACAGUCAGACAGGCGCUUGGAAAUUCCUCUUCACCAAGUGUUUUGGAGGCAGCUGGCAGACUUCCAGAAGUGUUCUGCUGGAGCUGCACAGCAGGCACACUGAACUAGCCUUGGUUGUGUGCCAGUUCACUACGUGGCAGUGGAUCAGGAUUCUCCAGAGAGGCUCUGCAGUCUCCAUCCCUGGGAGACCUUCAAGAGCAGAGUGGUUGGUCCUCAGCUGUGAUCUCAUAGCUGACCUGGGCUAAGCGGGAGGUUGGAUUGGAUGACCUUGUGAGGUCCUUUCCAGCCACGGUUCUCCUGUGAUAACCUCCUGAGUAGGCUCUGCUUUACAUGGGAGGUGGGAGGAAUUUAUAAACCAUAAUGUUAGUUUAAUUUUUUCUUUUCACAGUGGGUUUGCCUUUUUGAAGUAUCCCACUAGGAAUUCUGCAUCUUGGCUCAGUCGUGGCUUGGAGAAUAACCGAGUGUUUCAGGAUCUGCCAGAACAGCAGUGCCCUGGAAAUAUCUGACUGCACAAAAAUCAAAAGGAAAUUGGAGAUUGGCUUUGUUAAGGACACCUCCUGUUCUAUGGCACUGUCACUCAAUCGCUGUGUGGGAGUGCAUACAUUGUCUACAGGUGGUAGUGAGGAGGAGUCAAAGCUUCAGAGAGAGCUGCAGGAACAGCUGGACCUCAUAAGAGCUGCAAAAGAAGAUUCCCCAGCUAAAACAUGUCCAUGGAGAGCCAUAUGUGCAUAGCUGUUAGGAUUUUGGAAUCAGUGUGGUGGAAUGACAGGGAGAUGAUGGGUAAAUAUUAAUUGAGAGAGCAACCCCUGCCAAGAAAUUCUUUGCGAUCGUGUUACCUUCUCUUCAUGCAAAAUAUUUACCAAGUCAAAUACUGCCAUUUAAUUUACCAUAACUUGGUAGUCAUUACACAGGGACUUGAAGAGAAGGCCCAGCGGCCUGGCAGCCUCCUGGUGUGCCUUUGGGCUGUCCCAGAGGCAGUGAGACUGUCAGCAUGGCAGCGUGUGCUGGGAAGCUGCUUUCCAUUCUAUAUGCAGUAUCACAGGGCUGUGCUGAGCCAUGUGCCAAGCUGGCACCUCGUCCUGGCCACCUUUGGGCCAGGGGAUGGAAGGGUAAGAUGAGCUGAGCUGAUAGGUCUCUGUCAUCUGUCUGAAGGGCUUGCAGAAAUCUAGUGAAUGGGGCACCGUGUUUGGGUUUUCUUUCCAGAACUGGCAAUGCACAGGUGUAGGGUUGGUAGCAUGGAGAAGGCCAGACGAGGAAUAGAAAAAAGAGGGAAAGUUCAUUUUUGCAAUUAUUUCUGCACUUCUGUUCCUAAGACCUCUUGUUUUGUUUGUUUGUUUGUUUGUUUUGUUUUGUUUUGUUUUUAUGUUUCAUUUGCUUGGAGUCUGAGCUGGGAUAUCACAGGGAUGCUUCUCUCACUUCUGAUUCAGUAGAGUUGUAUUUCAGGCACUGAUUUGCAUUGACAGGCAGAAAAUACUUCUGUUUAAUUAGAAUAAAUCAUUUUAAAGUUGAAGAUGAAGAUGACCCUGGAAGAGUGCCACUCACAUCUUUAGUUGAUGCCUCAUGCCCACAAUUGAUGUGGGAACCCUAUUCCCAUGCCGACGGCACAGGCCAUGUGUGCACUGAGUAAUCACAAAUUUACACAUCAGCAUUACUCAACCUCCAGGCAGCGUGCGGUCAGUUUUCAUUUGCACUCUUAAAAUUGUUUCCAUUUAACACCCUUAAGCAGCUCUACGAAUUACAGUGAAAUAUAAAAUGACCCUCACAUUUGCUCUCCUGCUUAUUCAACACGACCGUUCCCCGCUCGGCGUGGCAGCGUGCUUUUCAUGUGGCUGCCCAUAUGCCCUGCACAUGACUGUGAUCUGGCUCCCAAAAGGGUAUGUUGUGAUCUGCUCGCAUGUGCCAAUUCACAUAUCUAAACGUUUUCAUAAGGGGAACCCCUUUGUGUUAGUCAUCUGGUUGUCAAACAAGACCUGGCUGUGAUCCUGGACCUGGCACUAGAUGAAAUAUGUGCACUUUAAACAUUUCAUACUGAAACUGAUGGGAAUGGGCAAUUCCUCAGUACAUUUUCUCAAGGUUUUUAAACAAUAAAUGUCAACCUAAGGGCAAAGCGAGACAGAUUUCAGAUUAAAGAGACGGGCUUUGCUUAACAUCUAUAAAUCCCUUAGUCCCAACCUCCUUCAUGGUUUUUCAAACAAGGAACAAGGAAAGGCUAUGUCAAGCGCGGUGGACACUUUUGUCAACACAACUUCUGCCUUUGGUAGCAUGAUAGAAAGAUUUCAAAAAUAGAUUUUUCUGAUGGAUUCAUGACUUGGCAUCCCGCAGAGAAUCUAGUAUUCUUCCAAGCAAAGCUAAAGGUUUGUGUUAGAAGGCUAGCAAAGCCAGUCAAAGAGCCUUUCAUCCUCAAGAUUACUAAAAUAUUCCUUUGUUUAUUUUUCUCCUUCAAUUACUUUUCCUGUCUUGGUUUAAUCUGUAGUGCUGAAGCUUGUCAGCACCUAUAGCCUUUUGUUUAGGAUAGAUGCCUUGGGAGCAUGAAUAAAAACAAUUUUCAUGUAGUGUCUCCUUGUCACAGCUGCUGCCUGAAGCCCAUCGACUUCUCUUUCCAAAGACCCGAUUAUGCACACACAAACAGAACAGAGCCUGGAGCCAGCAGUUUGAUAUUGCUUAAUGCCAGCGAUGAGCCCUCGUUAACCCGGUGCUCCAUCAUUUGCAAUAGAAGCAGCAAAUUUGUUUUCUCUCCCAGUUUCCAAAGAAAAAAAUGUGUCAGAAUGCUUGUCUUGACUGUAACUUAGUGAAAUGUUUAAAUAUUUUAGAAUGUAAAUUCUAGAAUUUGCAGCUGCGGGGAGAAGGAAAAUGAAACUUGUAUUUGGAAAAUUAAUUCUCAAACAAAAAUUCCCUGUAUAUGUUUUCUUUUUCCAGGAAAGUGAUUUCUUGAAACUUCAGCAUAUGCUUUUCAUUUGUGUGAGCUGGCACUGCCACGAGCCAGAGGAGGCUUGCAGCAAGCGGGGCCAUGCGGGACUGGCACCUGCUCGGCUGUGCUCGGGUGACUUCUGGACCUUCUGGUACUGUGAGUGAGCCGCACUUGAUGGAAAGAUGCUGAGCAUUUUUUCUUGACCCCAUGUCAUUGUGGAGUGGUUGCAGCUUGCUGUCACGGGCAGUCUUGUCUUGCAGAGAGCAGCAUAUCCCUGCAGAAAGAGAAAUGCUGUGGUAGCUCUAGAUGCAAGAGAAGCUUCAAGGAAAGUUUGCAUUUAAUUAUUGUUAGAAAUGUGCAGCAAAACAGAUUUCAUUGUUUUUAGCUCUUACAAAGCCAUAUGCCUAUGUCUCUGGGUUCCAAAACCACAUAACGAACAAAACAAAACAAACAAACAAAAGCAAGACCACAAGCAAGACCACAUAGCAGUAAUUAAAUGUCUCUGUUCCAGAAUAGGGUGCGUACUGUGAUCAAGACUGGCAGUAGCAGGGAAGCCAGGGUGCAUAGCUGAAGGAGGAGAGCAGACAGGAGCAAUGGGCAGGGUUUGCAGGGAAUGAGGAGCGUGGGUCUGUGUGCACCCUGGGAAGGGGCUCGUAACCAAGCACACAGUACUGGAACCUGCUGUGUGGUUGUUUGCAGCUGGAAAAAUGCAAUGGAGACAUGAUUCCUCAUGUAAUUCUUAGGUUGAAUCAGUUGGACCUAUUCUUUGCUUACUCAUUCAAAACUAUCAUUUUAUUCUGUCCCAGCGAGCUGAAGCAGACUGGCUUACUUCUCAUAGGGUGUCCAUCCAGCUGCCUUGAAGACAGCAGAAGGAACUAGAGAUUGUGGUCACAGUUCAGUGACUGAGUGAAGGGAUGAAGGUCAUUCCUCUCACUGAGACAGUCUCUUCAUACUCCCUGUCACCGCUUCUCUGCUCAGUGUUGUUCCUGCUAAUCGGGAUGCUUUGAAAUAGAGAGAGAGGAUAGUGGGAGGUGCAAGAAGAAAGACUGAAUUGAAGGCAGAAGAGAGCACAGUGGGGAUACAGACAGAAAAACAGGCUACGUGCUGAGCACAUUUAAAGGAGCACAGCUGGAACAGUGCUGGAGAGUAACAAAACUAUCUUUCCAUGUGUGUUUGCCUGUUCCCGUGUUAUUUUUCCCCAGUACUGCAUACAGCAUGGUUUCCCCACAAGGUUAAAGAUCACAAUAAUGUUUUAUGUAGGUAGCAGAAUACCCUGCGUGGAGGAAGUGGUACAUGAUUUUACUUAGAGAACAGAGAUUUCAUGGUUUUUAACACAUGCAAGGAAAUUUGUCUACUGGCAUCUGUUGCGGAGAUGGUAUCCCUUUGACACAAGUCAGGAAGCAAAAGCAUCUGUGGCUGUAAGGACAGUGCUUGCAGAAAACACUUGUGCAGAUAUCUUUAUUCAGGUCUGGUUCCCAUGUAGAAAGAGGCAUGUCCUCAGGAUGGCUGCUGAAUGCCAUCAGCACUGGGAGAGAAAAGAACAGAUGUAUGGCUGUAAACCGAGAUGUGAAAAAGCAGGAAUCUGAAGUUAGCUUGAAAGUUAUUUGGGCUGGGGUAUUGGUGGGAAGUGUCAGUGGGCAGCAGCUCAGAACCUGCAGUAACUGCUUGGCUGCCUGGCUCUUUCUUCAGCAAUCUCACUUGAGUGUUUUCAUGUGCAAGCAGAGGACACUGAUCUGCCCUGUCUUCCACACAUGUGCAUUCAUUCAGUGCAGUUACCUGUGUUGCUGUAGUAUACCUGCCCCUUUGGACUUGAGCACAAAUGUAUCAGGUAAAUGCAGGUGGAUGCAGCCACCGGUAAAGAAGUUGGUUUUUUUUUUCAUUGUGAUUGAUGCGUGGAUAGCAACCCUAUCCCAGUCUUACUAUUGGAUCAUCAGUCAAGACUUGAGGACUGCUGAAAGUAUGUCCUCAUCCCUAAGGUGUUGCAGUUCAGUGCUGGACCCGUCCAAGCUGAGACAAACUGAUUUUUGCAUUCAACAAAGCAAUGAUAGGACAAGAGGGCAUGGCCUCAAGUUGUGCCAGGGGAGAUUCAGGCUGGAUAUUAGGAAGAAUUUAUUUCCAGAAAGAGCAAUGAGGCAUUGGCACAGGCUGCCCAGGGAGGUGGUGAAGUCAUCAUCCCUGAAGGUGUUUAAAGAAAAGGCAGAUGUAGCACUUAGGGACAUGGUUUAGUGGGCAGUAUUGAUGGUAGGUGGAUGGUUGGACUAGAUGAUCUUAGAGGUCUUUUCCAACCCUAAUGAACCUGUGAUUCUGUGAAUGCAUGUGGAGUAUAUGACUGGCAGAAAGGACGGAUGUUGGGACGCGAAGCCUGAGUUCAGGUCUGAUACCAAAUGACUCCUGCAAAUUGGGCAGAGUAGGCUUCUGCUCUCUCCAUGCUUAAUUUCCUAACACUGUUUGGAGCUAGUUGGGAGCAGGAGAUAGUGAGCUGUCCAGAAAAACAACCAUUCCAGGUGCCGUGAUGAGUGUGGAGUAUACAGGCAUUGCACAGAAAGCAGUGACAGCAUGGUCUGCAUUAUCUGGUGAGGUGGUACAUCAUCUGCAUACCUGUGUGAUUCUAUAUGUGUGUAUCAGCAGCCUAUUGUUACAACGUGCUUAUGUGGCAAUUCGUUUGUGGAGUGUACCUUGUGCUGGUGUUCCACAGUAUUAAUGUUCUCAAGCAUGGGAAGACAUCUGUCAAGCAAGCACUAGUAAAUACCAUGCAGCUGUACUUUGUCAGGGUUCCAUUUUGCAUUUCCCUCUUUUCUCUACCUCAACACUCCUUCAGAUCACACUGACAUCAGUUGUGAUUAUGGCAAAAGAAGAUAACUCCUGUUAACCCUGUCAGAUGCUUGCAUAAGAUGAAGGCAUUUUCUUAAUGCACUCAUAAUCUAUAACCAGUUGUUUUUAAAGCCAUUUGAGAACCGUACAGAGAAGGCAUUUUGCAUUUGGUCAGUCAGAAGUUGGUAACUGUUUUAGAAGCCUGCUGGAAGGAAGACAUCAAGAAAAGCUUUUGCAAAGCUGUGUUUUCACCUCACAGUGCUUUGCAGAGAUGCAUUCUUGGGUUCGGUUCAUAUGGGUUCAUUUCUCUGACUUUCACUUUGAAUUUUGGAAUCAAAGGCAUUUUAAAAUUUUAGAUCAAACUUAUUAGAAAACACUGUAUCUCACCUGGUUUCAGCUCUUUAAGUAGUGAAAAGCAGUGCCUCCCCUGCUGUGAUCCUGAUACAAAUCUGUAAGUCAUCACGCCAGCGCGUUUGAAGCUGGGCCUAGCACUUCUGUCCAGAGUACAGCGUUGCUCAGAAAGUUCAUGGCUUCACCUUUGAACAGGGUGUUGCAGCGAAACAGGCAGCAGGCCGGAUUUCUGGGUAGAUGGCAAAGACAGCACCCAGCUUUCAUUUUGGGGAUUUUCCUAGCAUAAAGCUGCCCGAGCCAGAAGGCAGUUUGCGGCCACAGAUCCCUGAUUUUGCUCCUUUGAAUCACAGCUGGUGUCCUUUUGGGUGCAUCAGACGUGUUUGCUUCUGUCCUGGAGGCCGACAUUCAGCCAUCAUGGCCGUGGCUAAGGUCUCCAUCCUUGCCAUAUAGACUGGAGUCUGCAGCAGUAGGGCUUAGAACUUGAUACAAGCCUGAAGGGAGAGUUAUGAGCACAGUGACUGACAGCUCACGACUGUCUGAUAUGUCAGACCUCUGAGACCAGGUCUGGGAGGGAGGGUGAAUACAGUACCUGGGGAGCAGUCCCUUCCCUUCCUCCUGCUGGGGGGCAGUGGGGCUGGGCCUGUCCCUGCUGCCCACCCUGCCCUCCAGAGCACAGCUGCCCCUGCGGUUUCCGGGAAUCCCCGCCUGUAUGUGGUUUCUUAACCAGUCCUGCAAAAAUGUAUUUUUUAUUGAAUGUUAUUC